CGCGUAGGCGGUUUGAUAAGUCAGAUGUGAAAGCCCACGGCUUAACUGUGGAAGUGCAUUUGAAACUGUCAGACUUGAGUAUCAGAGGGGAAAGUGGAAUUCCCGGUGUAGAGGUGAAAUUCGUAGAUAUCGGGAGGAAUACCGGUGGCGAAGGCGACUUUCUGGCUGAAUACUGACGCUGAGGCGCGAAAGCGUGGGGAGGCAAACAA
rnacentral:rRNA from 1 species